rnacentral:rRNA from 1 species
CCUACGGGGGGCAGCAGUGGGGAAUAUUGGACAAUGGGGGCAACCCUGAUCCAGUCAUGCCGCGUGUGUGAAGAAGGCCCUCGGGUUGUAAAGCACUUUCAGUGAGGAAGAACGCCUGGUGGUUAAUACCCAUCAGGAAAGACAUCACUCACAGAAGAAGCACCGGCUAACUCCGUGCCAGCAGCCGCGGUAAUACGGAGGGUGCGAGCGUUAAUCGGAAUUACUGGGCGUAAAGCGCGCGUAGGUGGCUUGAUAAGCCGGUUGUGAAAGCCCCGGGCUCAACCUGGGAACGGCAUCCGGAACUGUCAAGCUAGAGUGCAGGAGAGGAAGGUAGAAUUCCCGGUGUAGCGGUGAAAUGCGUAGAGAUCGGGAGGAAUACCAGUGGCGAAGGCGGCCUUCUGGGCUGACACUGACACUGAGGUGCGAAAGCGUGGGUAGCAAACAGGAUUAGAUACCCGAGUAGUC